GAUGAACGCUAGCUACAGGCUUAACACAUGCAAGUCGAGGGCCCGGCGCACGGGUGAGUAACACGUAUCCAACCUGCCCUUUACUCGGGGAUAGCUUUUCGAAUGAAAGAUUAAUACCCGAUAUAAAGGAUGGGGAUGCGUUCCAUUAGGUUGUUGGUGAGGUAACGGCCCACCAAGCCUUCGCUGGAUAGGGGUUCUGAGAGGAAGGUCCCCCAGAUUGGAACGGAGGCACGGUCCAAACGCGUACGGGGAGCAGCAGGGAGGAAGAAUGGGGAAGGGGCGUUAGCCUGAACCAGCAAAGUAGCGUGAAGGAUGAAGGGUUAUGGGUCGUAAACUUCUUAUAAAUAAGAAUAUGUAUUAUAUGAAUAAGGAUCGGCUAACUCCGUGCCAGCAGCCGCGGUAAUAC
rnacentral:rRNA from 1 species